UCCGAUUUGUCACCGGCAGUCUCCCUAGAGUCCCCGGCAUUAUCCGCCGGCAACUAGGGACAGGGGUUGCGCUCGUUGCGGGACUUAACCCAACACCUCACGGCACGAGCUGACGACAGCCGUGCAGCACCUGUGCGCGCUCCCUCGCGGGUCCCUCACCUUUCGGUUCGGUACCACGCGCAUGUCAAGCCUGGGUAAGGUUCUUCGCGUUGCGUCGAAUUAAACCACAUGCUCCACCGCUUGUGCGGGCCCCCGUCAAUUCCUUUGAGUUUCAGCCUUGCGGCCGUACUCCCCAGGCGGGGCACUUCAUGCGUUAGCGCCGGCACCCAGGGGGUCGCUCCCCCAAGCACCUAGUGCCCAUCGUUUACGGCGUGGACUAC
rnacentral:misc_RNA from 1 species